rnacentral:rRNA from 1 species
CCUACGGGCGGCUGCAGUGAGGAAUAUUGGUCAAUGGGCGCAAGCCUGAACCAGCCAAGUCGCGUGAGGGAUGACGGUCCUAUGGAUUGUAAACCUCUUUUGCCGGGGAGCAAGGCCCGCCACGUGUGGCGGGAAGGAGAGUACCCGAAGAAAAAGCAUCGGCUAACUCCGUGCCAGCAGCCGCGGUAAUACGGAGGAUGCGAGCGUUAUCCGGAUUUAUUGGGUUUAAAGGGUGCGUAGGCGGAAGGUUAAGUCAGCGGUCAAAUGUCGGUGCUCAACACCGGCCUGCCGUUGAAACUGGUCGUCUUGAGUGAGCGAGAAGUAUGCGGAAUGCGUGGUGUAGCGGUGAAAUGCAUAGAUAUCACGCAGAACUCCGAUUGCGAAGGCAGCAUACCGGCGCUCAACUGACGCUGAGGCACGAAAGCGUGGGGAUCGAACAGGAUUAGAUACCCUUGUAGUC